rnacentral:snoRNA from 1 species
AUCCUUUUCCGGUUCAUAAGCAUGAUGAUUGGGUGUUCUCAUGCUUCUUUUAAAUCUUGUUAUGCACUUGGCACAUUACCCAUCUGACA